rnacentral:rRNA from 1 species
GUAGGUGGCAAGCGUUGUCCGGAAUUAUUGGGCGUAAAGCGCGCGCGGGCGGUUCUUUAAGUCUGAUGUGAAAGCCCACGGCUCAACCGUGGAGGGUCAUUGGAAACUGGAGAACUUGAGUACAGAAGAGGAAAGCGGAAUUCCACGUGUAGCGGUGAAAUGCGUAGAGACGUGGAGGAACACCAGUGGCGAAGGCGGCUUUCUGGUCUGUAGCUGACGCUGAGGCGCGAAAGCGUGGGGAGCAAACAGGAUUAGAUACCCUGGUAGUCCACGCCGUAAACGAUGAGUGCUAAGUGUUAGGGGGUUUCCGCCCCCCUUAGUGCUGCAGCUAACGCAUUAAGCACUCCGCCUGGGAGUACGGCCGCAAGGCUG